rnacentral:tRNA from 1 species
GGGAGUGUGGCUGAAUGGUAGAGCGCUUGCCUAUCAAGCAUGAGGCACUGAGUUCAAACCUCUGUUCUG